rnacentral:rRNA from 3 species
AACGACUCUCGGCAACGGAUAUCUCGGCUCUCGCAUCGAUGAAGAACGUAGCGAAAUGCGAUACCUGGUGUGAAUUGCAGAAUCCCGCGAACCAUCGAGUCUUUGAACGCAAGUUGCGCCCGAGGCCAUCCGGUCGAGGGCAUGCCUGCCUGGGCGUCACGCCAU